rnacentral:siRNA from 1 species
UUAUGGGGCCACUAAAAUUUUAU